GAUUUCUGGUAUGAUGCGCUUGUCCCGGCUCUUCGGAGAUCGUGUGACUGUGUGCGUCUACCAUCCUUCGCUUCAGAUGUGCUGGCGUGUAAAAGCGUUAGCAGCUGUUGUGAUCUUUUACUUUGAAAAAAUUAGAGUGUUUAAAGCAGGCUUGUGCCUUGAAUACAUUAGCAUGGAAUAAUAAUAUAGGACUGGGUUCCUAUUUUGUUGGUUUUCUGGAAUCGAGUAAUGAUUGAUAGGGAUAGUUGGGGGUGCUAGUAUUCAGCGGCCAGAGGUGAAAUUCUUUGAUUCGCUGAAGACUAACUUAUGCGAAAGCAUU
rnacentral:rRNA from 1 species